GAACAAGAUAAACAACUGAAUAUCAUCAAAAAAAGAAAAGAGUAUAUUGAAAGGAGACUAGAGACACCAGGUAUAGUACUAACUUAAAGCAUGUAUUAAAGUAAUGUGGAGUUGAUAAUCAUUUGAACAAUCAGUACAAUUAUCUUAUAAAUUAAAAUUCUCAUUGUGUCAUUACUGUAGAGUCUAAACUGAAUGUGAAGCUACUGACUAGAGGGAAGUUGAUAAAUAAAAUAUUUAAAUCAAAGAAAUCAGAGACUCAGUAUUUCCGAACCUCUCUCCUAAUGAAAGCAGGAAGAGAGGAGGCAUUAGUGGA